rnacentral:rRNA from 1 species
AACGAACGCUGGCGGCAUGCCUAACACAUGCAAGUCGAACGAGACCUUCGGGUCUAGUGGCGCACGGGUGCGUAACGCGUGGGAAUCUGCCCUUGGGUUCGGAAUAACAGUUGGAAACGACUGCUAAUACCGGAUGAUGACGUAAGUCCAAAGAUUUAUCGCCCAAGGAUGAGCCCGCGUAGGAUUAGCUAGUUGGUGAGGUAAAGGCUCACCAAGGCGACGAUCCUUAGCUGGUCUGAGAGGAUGAUCAGCCACACUGGGACUGAGACACGGCCCAGACUCCUACGGGAGGCAGCAGUGGGGAAUAUUGGACAAUGGGCGAAAGCCUGAUCCAGCAAUGCCGCGUGAGUGAUGAAGGCCUUAGGGUUGUAAAGCUAUUUUACCCGGGAUGAUAAUGACAGUACCGGGAGAAUAAGCUCCGGCUAACUCCGUG